ACAGCUAUAGCACAUUGAAACACUGAUUUGCAUAAGAUCCCUGAAGUUAAACAGCAUUGAGCCUAGUCAGUACCUAGAUGGGUGACCACUUGGGAAUACCAAGUGCUGUA